GGGUUAGGGGGCGGACUACACAUGCAAGUCGAGCGGAUGACGGGAGCUUGCUCCUUGAUUCAGCGGCGGACGGGUGAGUAAUGCCUAGGAAUCUGCCUGGUAGUGGGGGACAACGUUUCGAAAGGAACGCUAAUACCGCUUACGUCCUACGGGAGAAAGCUGGGGACCUUCGGGCCUUGCGCUAUCGGAUGAGCCUAGGUCGGAUUAGCUACUUGGUGUGGUAAUGGCUCACCUAGGUUACGAUCCGUAACUGGUCUGACAGGAUGAUCAGUCACCCUGGAACUGAGACUCGGUCCCAGACUCCUACCUCAGGCUUCAGUGGUUAAUAGUGCACAAUGGCCGAAACCCUGAUCCACCCAC
rnacentral:rRNA from 1 species